GGAAGUAAAAGUCGUAACCAAGGUUUCCGUAGGUGAACCUGCGGAAGGAUCAUUAAAGUUAUAGUCCCCUGGCCCUCUGGGCUGGGGUCUUCUAUACCACCCUUUGUUUAUUACACCUUUGUUGCUUUGGCAGGCCUGCCCUCGGGCUGCUGGCUCCGGCCGGCUCGCGUCUGCCAGAGGACCUAAACUCUGUUUGUAUAUGAAGUCUGAGUACUAUAUAAUAGUUAAAACUUUCAACAACGGAUCUCUUGGUUCUG
rnacentral:misc_RNA from 1 species